GGGCGAUUAGCUCAGUUGGGAGAGCACCUCCCUUACAAGGAGGGGGUCACUGGUUCGAGCCCGGUAUCGCCCACCA
rnacentral:tRNA from 140 species